AUUGAACGCUGGCGGCAGGCCUAACACAUGCAAGUCGAACGAGUGGCGGACGGGUGAGUAACGUCUGGGAAACUGCCCGAUGGAGGGGGAUAACUACUGGAAACGGUAGCUAAUACCGCAUACCAUCGGAUGUGCCCAGAUGGGAUUAGCUAGUGGGUGGGGUAACGGCUCACCUAGGCGACGAUCCCUAGCUGGUCUGAGAGGAUGACCAGCCACAUUGGAACUGGGACACGGUCCAGAUUCCUACGGGAGGCAGCAGUGGGGAAUAUUGCACAAUGAGCGCAAGCCUGAUGCAGCCAUGCCGCGUGUAGGAAGAGGGCCUUCGGGUUGUAAAGUACGUUCAGCGAGGAGGCGUUACUCGCAGAGGAAGCACCGGCUAACUCCGUGCCAGCAGCCGCGGUAAUAC
rnacentral:rRNA from 1 species